rnacentral:rRNA from 1 species
GCCGAAGCUAACGCGAUAAGCAAUCCGCCUGGGGAGUACGGUCGCAAGACUGAAACUCAAAGGAAUUGACGGGGGCCCGCACAAGCGGUGGAGCAUGUGGUUCAAUUCGACGCAACGCGAAGAACCUUACCUGGGCUCGAAAUGUAGUGGANCCGGGGUGGAAACAUCCCUUCCCGCAAGGGUCGCUAUAUAGGUGCUGCAUGGCUGUCGUCAGCUCGUGUCGUGAGAUGUUGGGUUAAGUCCCGCAACGAGCGCAACCCUUAUUGUCAGUUGCCAUCAUUCAGUUGGGCACUCUGGCGAAACCGCCUCGGAUAACGGGGAGGAAGGUGGGGAUGACGUCAAGUCCUCAUGGCCUUUAUGUCCAGGGCUACACACGUGCUACAAUGGUCGGUACAAACCGUCGCAAACCCGCGAGGGGGAGCUAAUCGGAAAAAGCCGACCUCAGUUCGGAUUGGAGUCUGCAACUCGACUCCAUGAAGCUGGAAUCGCUAGUAAUCGCGGAUCAGAACGCCGCGGUGAAUACGUUCCCGGGCCUUGUACACACCGCCCGUCACAUCACGAAAGUGGGCUGUACUAGAAGCAGGUGGGCCAACCCGCAAGGGGGGCAGCCUUCCAAGGUAUAACUCAUGAUUGGGGUGAAGUCGUAACCAAGGUACC